AGCCAAGCAUGAUGUAGUGGUUUGAGGGUUGGACUAGGACUCUGGAGGCCAGGGUUCGAAUCCCUGCUCAGCCA